CCUACGGGCGGCAGCAGUGGGGGAUAUUGCACAAUGGGGGGAACCCUGAUGCAGCGACGCCGCGUGGGGGAAGAAGCGCCUCGGCGCGUAAAGCCCUGUCAGCAGGGAAGAAAAUGACGGUACCUGAAGAAGAAGCGCCGGUUAACGACGUGCCAACAGCCGCGGGAAUGAGUAGGGGGCCAGCGUUAUCCGGAUUUACUGGGGGUAAAGGGGGCGCAGACGGGGAUGCAAGCUAGGAGUGAAAGCCCGGGGCCCAAACCCGGGACUGCUGUUGGAACUGCGGGGCUGGAGUGCAGGAGGGGUAGGCGGAAUGCCUGGUGUAGCGGUGAAAUGCGUAGAUAUCAGGAGGAACACCGAUGGCGAAGGCGGCCUACUGGACUCCAACUGACGUUGAGGCCCGAAAGCGUGGGGAGCAAACAGGAUUAGAUACCCUUGUAGUC
rnacentral:rRNA from 1 species